CCUACGGGUGGCAGCAGUCGGGAAUAUUGCGCAAUGGAGGAAACUCUGACGCCGUGACGCCGCGUGCAGGAAGAAGGUUUUCGGAUUGUAAACUGCUUUAGACAGGGAAGAAAAAAGACAGUACCUGUAGAAUAAGCUCCGGCUAACUCCGUGCCAGCAGCCGCGGUAAUACGUCGGGAGCAAGCUUUAUCCGGCUUUAUUGGGUGUAAAGGGCGUGUAGCCGGGUUGACAAGUCAGAUGUGAAAUCCUGCGGCUUAACCGCAGAACUGCAUUUGAAACUGUUGAUCUUGAGUACUGGAGAGGCAGACGGAAUUCCUAGUGUAGCGGGGAAAUGCGUAGAUAUUAGGAGGAACACCAGUGGCGAAGGCGGUCUGCUGGACAGCAACUGACGGUGAGGCGCGAAAGCGUGGGGAGCAAACAGGAUUAGAUACCCCUGUAGUC
rnacentral:rRNA from 1 species